ACUGAACGCUGGCGGCAGGCCUAACACAUGCAAGUCGAGCGGAUGAAGGGAGCUUGCUCCUGGAUUCAGCGGCGGACGGGUGAGUAAUGCCUAGGAAUCUGCCUGGUAGUGGGGGAUAACGUCCGGAAACGGGCGCUAAUACCGCAUACGUCCUGAGGGAGAAAGUGGGGGAUCUUCGGACCUCACGCUAUCAGAUGAGCCUAGGUCGGAUUAGCUAGUUGGUGGGGUAGAGGCCUACCAAGGCGACGAUCCGUAACUGGUCUGAGAGGAUGAUCAGUCACACUGGAACUGAGACACGGUCCAGACUCCUACGGGAGGCAGCAGUGGGGAAUAUUGGACAAUGGGCGAAAGCCUGAUCCAGCCAUGCCGCGUGUGUGAAGAAGGUCUUCGGAUUGUAAAGCACUUUAAGUUGGGAGGAAGGGCAGUAAGUUAAUACCUUGCUGUUUUGACGUUACCAACAGAAUAAGCACCGGCUAACUUCGUG
rnacentral:rRNA from 1 species